UACGAAGGGGGCUAGCGUUGUUCGGAAUCACUGGGCGUAAAGCGCACGUAGGCGGAUCUUUAAGUCAGAGGUGAAAUCCCAAGGCUCAACCUUGGAACUGCCUUUGAUACUGGGGAUCUUGAGUCCGGGAGAGGUGAGUGGAACUGCGAGUGUAGAGGUGAAAUUCGUAGAUAUUCGCAAGAACACCAGUGGCGAAGGCGGCUCACUGGCCCGGUACUGACGCUGAUGCACGAAAGCUAGGGGAGCAAACAGG
rnacentral:rRNA from 1 species